AAAAAAAAAACCUCAAAAGUUAAAAAAAGAAAAGAUCAGGAAAAAUAGUAGGCAGUUAAAAUUUGUGUUUUGUUCUGUUUUUCCAAUAACGGGUUUCAAUUUUAAACAUCGUUAUUGACUCACUGCUAUUAAAAACAAGACAAAUAUGUCUUUAUCCUCUUUCCUAUGCAAACCCCUAAUUUUUACUUAAUUUAUUAUUACAUCAGGUUGCCAACAGUUAUAACAAUCAUGUUUGAUUCUAUGAUAUUGUUCUCCAUACUUUAAAACCUUAAUUUAUGAAUUUAAGCAGUCAGAGCUCACCACAACACCUUUUACCAUGAUUUCUUCACCUAUGAAUUGUUUAUUUUAAGAAAUCUUCAGAGGCUGUGGCUAUAAGCAUAUUUUUUUUUUCGAAAAGAUGUAGGAAGAAAUCCUAUAAUUUACUGAAAUUUUGCCUGCUUGAUUUUUUUUUAAAGGAAAACUUGACUUCUUUUAAAUUCUUACAUCCAGCUUCUGUUUUUGGCUAAGAUGAAAUAACGAGGACCAGACUUCCUCUUCUGCGUAAAAGCACGAACCAACAAAAAACAGACAAAAUACGUGAAACAGUGGUUUUCAAGAUAUUGGACAUCAGACAACAAAUGAGAUUGAGGCCAUUAAACAAAUAAAGUAAGCCUUGAGAUUGCCCCAGAGAGUACUAUCCAAACCAGUAGAUGGAGAUCCAUAUGAUGCCUCAAGGAGUUCUGGGAGUUAUACAUAUGGUGUUUUCCCGUGCCCCAGAGCUAGCACCUGAUUCCAGGAGGGAGGCCUAACAAGCAAAUCUCUCCUGAUGGCUACUGUAAUACUUCUUCCCAGGACUGUGAGAGCUGCCAAGAUGACAAUGACUCAUAUUGUCCCUGCGACCCUGCUUACCUCAGA